GAGACCAAUGGGUUUCGCGUAGUCUGCGGGCUAUGCACCGUCUAGGUUUGGGAUUUUUUUUUAUGGCGGUAACCCCGUCUCCACGGGAGGUUGUGUGUAUAU